ACGGACGCCCGGCAAGGCCAAGAUAGCGCCGGAAGAGAAGACACUAUCUCCCGAGUCGAGCGGCCCAGCACGGUUCCCGGCACCCACGCGGAGCACGCCGCGAUAAUGGCACAAGUGUUGCGGGCCUGCGUAAUUGCGAAAAGCGAACGGACAUGACACCCCUUGGGUGGGGUUACGGCCGUGGCGCAGCGCAAGAUCGCCGAGGCCAACCCACGCAGCCCACCUUGCACGCUUGGUAACCAGGUGACCGUGCUAGCGGGCGGCGAGCCGAAUCUUUCGGAUCGCCGCCCGCUUCGUCGU
rnacentral:ncRNA from 1 species